AUGCAAAGGGAUAAAGAAAUAACAGGUGGUAUGAGAAUUAUUAAAGGUGAUGUUGUGAAUUGGUCAUUUAGAAGUUGCGGAAGAUUGGUGCAAGAGGAAACCGUGGAUUGGAGGUCGGAGUUGAUAAAGGCCAACCGUAAUGUUAAGACAGGAGCUGGUUUUCGUAGCAGCCUGAUUUCAUCUUCUGUUAUCCGAAUGCCUAGCGAACUGGUUCCGCUUAUCAAUUUAUGA